CGGGACGUGGCGCAGUUUGGGAGCGCGCUUGAAUGGGGUUCAAGAGGUCGCAGGUUCAACUCCUGUCGUCCCGACCA
rnacentral:tRNA from 1 species